UGGCGCACCCUCUAUUUUGCUUGAGCGUCCGCCUCCCCAGCUUCGAAUCUUCGUAGUCUCUUUUAUGUUCCACGAUUUUAUGUCUGUACAACACAUAUUAUAAAAUUCUUAAGCCCGAGUAGAAUUAGCACCGGAGUGCAGUAUACAAGGAAGGAAGGGUUCUUAUUACAGUACAAGGAAAGGUUGGGACUUCUGAAAGUUUCGUUUCUUGCUUUAUUCUGAAAGAUCUUUUUUUGUGGGUGGGAUUUGAUUGAGGUGUGUUGGAUUGUUGGGAGAGAUGGGGAGCAAGGAAGGAGAGAAUGGAGGUGGGGUAUUGGAAAAAGGGGGUGAUUUGAUGGAGGGAGAGGAGGUGGUGGUUGAGAAUUGUGAGGGGAAAGGAGGGAGAAUUGAAGGGGAUGGUGAUGGUGACCAGACUAUUGAAAAAGGACAGGAGGAGAAGGAGUUAACUAAAAGAAGCGUUGAGGAAAAGAAAGUGAAUUUAGAAGAGAGUGUGCCGAGGAGAAAUCUUAGGCAGAGAAAACUGGUUAUUAAGGACCAGUAUGAUGAAUUUGUCGAAAAGUAUUUCCAGGAGGAAGAUGAAGUUAAGCCAAAGAAGAGACGCAGAAAAAGUUCAAUGAAAACAAAUGAUGAGGAGAAUUGUAAGAUGACUAGGGGUCCGAAAAAGAAGGAAAGUGAUAGAGGUAAUGAUGAGUCAGCUAGUUUAGAAGGAGAUGCUACUAGUACAGCUUGCAAGGGUGCUGAUGCUCUUAAAAAGGCAAAGGGUGGUGGAAAGACGGACGAAAAUGGGGAACCGCUAUCCAACAUGUGUCAUCAGUGCCAGAGGAACGACAAAGGUCGGACUGUAAAAUGCGAGAAUUGUAUAUGGAAGCGUUACUGUGUUCCCUGCAUGACGACUUGGUACCCAAAGAUGACAGAGUAUGAUUUUGCCAAGAUGUGCCCUGUUUGUCAAGUAAACUGUAACUGUAAAAGUUGUUUGCGGCUAGAAGUGCCUAAAAAAGACAAGGAAAAAUUUAAUUUGAAAUUCACUGAAGAAGAAAAAAUUGAAUACUCUAAAUAUAUUAUUCCCAUGCUUCUUCCAUUCCUGAAACAAUUCAAUGAGGAACAAAUGAAGGAGAAGGCCAUAGAAGCUAAAAUUCAAGGGUUAUCAUUGUCAGAUUUGAAGGUUCAAAAGGCAAAUUGCAGUUUGGGAGAACGUAUAUAUUGCGACUAUUGUAAAACUUCAAUUGCUGAUUUUCACAGAAGCUGUACAAGUUGUGCUUAUGAUCUUUGUCUGACUUGCUGUCGAGAGUUCCGUGAUGGUUGCCUAAAAGUCUCUAAUGAAGAGUUGGAUUUUCAAUUUGUGGACCCAGGGUCCAAAUACAUGCAUGGUGAAGGUGAAUCAAAGCCUACAAUGCGCACACCAGAUGAAACUAAUCGCGAGGAUUUUUUGAAGUGGAAAUCUCAUGAAGAUGGUAACAUCCCUUGUCCCCACAAAACUUUGGGCGGUUGCGGGGAAGGGAUAUUAGAGUUGAAGUGUUUACAUAAAGAUUCAGUUUCCACAUUGCUGGUUGAAGCUGAGAAAUUGUCAGAGAAAUACCAACUUGUUCCAGCAACUACUGGAGAGCGGUGCCCCUGUUUCAAUUCAGCUUCUGAAAUUGGCACUGAAAAAUCGAAGUUACUGAAAGCGGCAUCUCGGAAAGAUAGCAGUGACAAUUAUUUGUACAGUCCAACUGCUGUAGAACUUGAGUCUAAAGACUUGAGUCAUUUUCAGUACCACUGGCUCAAGGGCGAACCUGUUAUUGUCAAUAAUGUGCUCGAGUUAACAUGUGGUUUAAGUUGGGAACCUAUGGUCAUGUGGCGUGCAUUCCGUCAGAUCAAAAACUUAAAUCAUUCACAGCUUUUGGAUGUUGUUGCCAUUAAUUGUUUAGACUGGUGCGAGGUAGAUGUUAAUGCCCACCAUUUUUUCAAGGGUUAUCGGGAAGGUCAGCUUGAUGAUGCUGGGUGGCCUCUUAUCUUGAAGUUGAAAGACUGGCCUCCUUCCAGUUCAUUCGAUGAACACUUGCCGCGUCAUGGUGCUGAGUUCCUCAGUAGCUUGCCAUUUAAAGAAUAUACAAAUUCCCGGAGCGGCUAUCUAAAUCUUGCUGUCAAGCUGCCGGAAAAGUCCUUGAAACCGGAUAUGGGGCCUAAAACAUAUAUCGCUUAUGGAAUCGCUGAGGAGCUUGGUCGUGGUGAUUCUGUGACGAAGCUUCAUUGUGACAUGUCUGAUGCGGUCAAUGUGCUUACCCAUGUCCAAGAAGUACAGUUUACAUCUGCCCAACAGGUCAUGAUAGAGGAGAUUAAACAAAAGCACAUUUCCCAGGAUAAAAGGGAACUUUUUGGAGAAGAACAGAUAGCAGUUGAUAUGGAAAAGCAGGAAGAGGAACUUAAUGAAAUGACAGGUGCACCAAAUGGGACAAUUCAAAGUUCUGAGGUGAAAUUGGGCCAGGGAUCUACUGAUAUCACUAAUGUUCAAAUGAAGAGAAAUGCAGCUAUCAACCGGACGCUUGUGAGUCAAGAUGUCCGUGACAAGAAAAGUGAACUGGAUGAAUAUUCAGGGAAUAGUAGUGUUGGAAUUUUGGAUAACAAAAUUGAGGGAAUUGAACACCCAGAGGGAGGUGCACUCUGGGACAUAUUUAGAAGGGAAGAUUCUUCCAAACUGGAAGAAUAUCUAAGGAAGUAUUUCAAAGAAUUCAGACAUGUAUACUGCCUGCCUCUAGAUCAGGUAAUUCAUCCUAUUCAUGACCAGACGUUUUACUUAACCAUGGAGCACAAGCGAAGGCUCAAACAAGAAUAUGAUGUAGAGCCAUGGACAUUUGUCCAAAAACAAGGAGAUGCAGUAUUUAUACCUGCUGGAUGUCCGCACCAGGUUCGAAACUUGAAGUCAUGUAUAAAGGUUGCACUAGACUUUGUUUCGCCGGAGAAUGUACAUGAAUGCAUCCGGUUAGCAGAGGAAAUUCGCACCCUUCCGCCAAAUCACAGAGCCAAGGAGGACAAACUGGAAGUGAAGAAAAUAUCCUUUUAUGCGAUGCAAGCAGCUGUGGAGGAUUUAAAUAAGCUGGAGAAAGAAGGAACAAAAAAACCAGAUGAUGCUAAUGCCUCAGAAAAUUUGGCACCAAAAGGCAAAAAAGGAAAGGCGGAGAAAAAAAUAAGAUUGUGAAUGCAGCUCAUGAAGGAAUCCGCGUAUUAUAAGGGAUAUUUGGUGCGAUUUGGAGGAUAGAUUUGGUUUUGCCUCAAUGGCUCAGGUUUAUGAAUUAGAACAGAAAAUUGCAAAGGCAUCUCAAGGUUCUCGGAACAUUUCAGCAUUUUUCACUGCUAUGAAAACACUUUGGGAUCGUAUUUCAUAUGCUAAUCCACUUCCUGCCUGCACUUGCCACAAUUGUGCUUGCUGUAAUAAUUUGACUCAAAAGAAUGACAACUUUGCUGCAAUUAGGGCCAAUAUACUCAUGAUGCAACCAUUACCUCAUGUUUCUCAGGCUUACAGACUCUUUGCUCAUGAUGAAAGGCACAAAGAGAUUUCUCAAGAACAAAACUCAUCUGAUUCACUAGCAUUUCUGGCUGACAAAAGAUGGUUCAAUGUAUCAUCUCAAGAUAAUUCCAAGUAGUUUUUCUCAAACCAGACUAAUGCCAAAGGAAAUUCAACUGACUUUGGGAACAAGAAAUCAGCUAGCAAGCUUGGUUCCAAUUACUAUUGUACUCACUGCAAAGUGCCUGGCCACAACAUCGAUAGAUGCUUUAAAAUUCAUGGAUUUCCACCUAACUUCAAAGGCUUUAAGGACAGAAAAGUUGUUGCAUUCUCACAAUCAUCUGUUGAUCCUGCUUCUAAUGAUUCCACACUUACAAGUCAAGAAGUUCCUGCAGUCACUUCUGAACCAAUCUCUGUGGAACAGUUUAAUCAGCUGUUCAACAUAUUCCAAAAGCACAAUGUCUGAUUCUGAUGAAAAUAUUGUUCCUCAUCACACUGCUCUUUUGACAGGUCCUUUGAUUCUUCUUGGUAAGAUCAAUAAUGGCUUGUACAGUGUGGUUCAAGAUGAGUUACAAGCAUCACUUGAUCCAUCUUCACCAUACAAGAAGGCCUGUUUCACUUCUACACACUCUGAAUUUGCUGAUAUUCUUCAUAUGAGGCUUGGUCACAUUUCAUUUCACCAACUUAAGCUGAUGUUUCCUUCUUCUAAUAUCUAGUCUAAUGUAAAUAGUCAUAUUUGUCAUAUAUGUCCUCUAGCUAAGACUACCAGAGCUUCUUUUCUUCACAGUAGUAUUAAAACUACUGCUGCUUUUCAAUUACUGCAUAUUGAUGUUUGGGGACUUUACAAGGUCAAAACUCCAUCUAGUUGUAACCAAUUCUUGACCAUUGUUGAUGAUUUUAGUAGAUUCACAUGGAUUCAUCUUCUAAAACAUAAAUUUGUUGUUUCUUACA